rnacentral:rRNA from 1 species
CGGCUACCACAUCCAAGGAAGGCAGCAGGCGCGCAAAUUACCCACUCUCGGCAAGAGGAGGUAGUGACGAAAAAUAACGAGACCGUACUCUUUGAGGCCGGUUAUCGGAAUGGGUACAAUUUAAACCCGUUAACGAGGAUCUAUGAGAGGGCAAGUCUGGUGCCAGCAGCCGCGGUAAUUCCAGCUCUCAAAGUGUAUAUCGUCAUUGCUGCGGUUAAAAAGCUCGUAGUUGGAUCUGCGCCUCAGGACUUGGUCCGCCCACUGGGCGAGAACUAGGCUCCUGGGCUAGUUCUGCUGGUUUUCUCUACGUUGCCUUCAUCGGUCGCGUAGGGUGGCUAGCGAGUUUACUUUGAAAAAAUUAGAGUGCUUCACGCGAGCUUAUGUCUGAAUACUCGUGCAUGGAAUAAUAGAAUAGGAUCUCGGUUCUAUUUUGUUGGUUUUCUGAUCUGAGAUAAUGGUUAAGAGGGACGGACGGGGGCAUUCGUAUCGCUGCGUGAGAGGUGAAAUUCUUGGACCGUAGCGAGACGCCCGACUGCGAAAGCAUUUGCCAAGAAUGUCUUCAUUAAUCAAGAACGAAAGUCAGAGGUUCGAAGGCGAUCAGAUACCGCCCUAGUUCUGACCGUAAACGAUACCAACUAGCGUUCCGUCGGCGGUAAAUACGCCUUGACGGGCAGCUUCCCGGAAACGAAAGUCUUUCGGUUCCGGGGGAAGUAUGGUUGCAAAGCUGAAACUUAAAGAAAUUGACGGAAGGGCACCACCAGGAGUGGAGCCUGCGGCUUAAUUUGACUCAACACGGGAAAACUCACCUGGCCCGGACACCGUGA